ACGGUAAUAUCACGUUGAAACACGUGCUUCUAUACGAACACCGAAGUUAAGCAACGUCGAGCCUGGUCAGUAUCUAGAUUGGUGACAGCUUGAGAAAACCAGGUGCUGUAA